CGGCUAACUACGUGCCAGCAGCCGCGGUAAUACGUAGGGUGCAAGCGUUGUCCGGAAUUAUUGGGCGUAAAGAGCUCGUAGGCGGUUUGUCGCGUCUGCUGUGAAAUCCCGAGGCUCAACCUCGGGCUUGCAGUGGGUACGGGCAGACUAGAGUGCGGUAGGGGAGAUUGGAAUUCCUGGUGUAGCGGUGGAAUGCGCAGAUAUCAGGAGGAACACCGAUGGCGAAGGCAGAUCUCUGGGCCGUAACUGACGCUGAGGAGCGAAAGCAUGGGGAGCGAACAGGAUUAGAUACCCUGGUAGUCCAUGCCGUAAACGUUGGGCGCUAGAUGUAGGGACCUUUCCACGGUUUCUGUGUCGUAGCUAACGCAUUAAGCGCCCCGCCUGGGGAGUACGGCCGCAAGGCUAAAACUCAAAGGAAUUGACGGGGGCCCGCACAAGCGGCGGAGCAUGCGGAUUAAUUCGAUGCAACGCGAAGAACCUUACCAAGGCUUGACAUACACCGGAAACGGCCAGAGAUGGUCGCCCCCUUGUGGUCGGUGUACAGGUGGUGCAUGGUUGUCGUCAGCUCGUGUCGUGAGAUGUUGGGUUAAGUCCCGCAACGAGCGCAACCCUCGUUCUAUGUUGCCAGCGGGUUAUGCCGGGGACUCAUAGGAGACUGCCGGGGUCAACUCGGAGGAAGGUGGGGAUGACGUCAAAUCAUCAUGCCCCUUAUGUCUUGGGCUUCACGCAUGCUACAAUGGCCGGUACAAAGGGCUGCGAUACCGUAAGGUGGAGCGAAUCCCAAAAAGCCGGUCUCAGUUCGGAUUGAGGUCUGCAACUCGACCUCAUGAAGUCGGAGUCGCUAGUAAUCGCAGAUCAGCAACGCUGCGGUGAAUACGUUCCCGGGCCUUGUACACACCGCCCGUCAAGUCAUGAAAGUCGGUAACACCCGAAGCCGGUGGCCUAACCCUUGUGGAAGGAGCCGUCGAAG
rnacentral:rRNA from 1 species